rnacentral:rRNA from 1 species
GGGGAAUUUUGGACAAUGGGGGCAACCCUGAUCCAGCCAUGCCGCGUGUCUGAAGAAGGCCUUCGGGUUGUAAAGGACUUUUGUCAGGGAGGAAAUCCUGGUCGUUAAUAGCGUUUGGGGAUGACAGUACCUGAAGAAUAAGCACCGGCUAACUACGUGCCAGCAGCCGCGGUAAUACGUAGGGGGCGAGCGUUGUCCGGAAUUAUUGGGCGUAAAGGGCGCGUAGGCGGCCGUUUAAGUCCUGUGUAUAAGACCGGGGCUCAACCCUGGUUCGCAUGGGAAACUGGGCGGCUGGAGUGCAGGAGAGGGAAGCGGAAUUCCACGUGUAGCGGUGAAAUGCGUAGAGAUGUGGAGGAACACCAGUGGCGAAGGCGGCUUCCUGGCCUGUAACUGACGCUGAGGCGCGAAAGCGUGGGGAGCAAAC